UACGGGGGGAGCAAGCGUUGUUCGGAUUUACUGGGCGUAAAGGGCGCGUAGGCGGCCAGCACAAGUCAGUUGUGAAAUCUCCGAGCUUAACUCGGAAAGGUCAACUGAUACUGUGCGGCUAGAGUGCGGAAGGGGCAACUGGAAUUCUCGGUGUAGCGGUGAAAUGCGUAGAUAUCGAGAGGAACACCUGCGGCGAAGGCGGGUUGCUGGGCCGACACUGACGCUGAUGCGCGAAAGCCAGGGGAGCGAACAGG
rnacentral:rRNA from 1 species